rnacentral:rRNA from 1 species
CCGUAUCGUGGCGGCGUGCAUAAUACAUGCAGUCGAGCGCGGGAAGCGAGCUGAUCCCUUCGGGGUGACGCUCGUGGAACGAGCGGCGGACGGGUGAGUAACACGUGGGCAACCUGCCUGUAAGAUCGGGAUAACUCCGGGAAACCGGGGCUAAUACCGGGUAAUACUUUCUUUCGCAUGAAGGAAAGUUGAAAGAUGGCUUCUCGCUAUCACUUACAGAUGGGCCCGCGGCGAUUAGCUAGUUGGUGAGGUAACGGCUCACCAAGGCGACGAUGCGUAGCCGACCUGAGAGGGUGAUCGGCCACACUGGGACUGAGACACGGCCCAGACUCCUACGGGAGGCAGCAGUAGGGAAUCUUCCGCAAUGGACGAAAGUCUGACGGAGCAACGCCGCGUGAACGAUGAAGGUCUUCGGAUCGUAAAGUUCUGUUGUUAGGGAAAACAAGUACCGUGCGAAUAGAGCGGUACCUUGACGGUACCUAACGAGGAGCCCCGGCUAACUACGUGCCAGCAGCCGGUUAAUA